ACGAACGCUGGCGGCGUGCUUCACACAUGCAAGUCGAACGGAAAGGCCCUGCUUUUGUGGGGUGCUCGAGUGGCGAACGGGGGAGUAACACGUGAGUAACCUGCCCUUGACUUUGGGAUAACUUCAGGAAACUGGGGCUAAUACCGGCUAGGAGCUCCUGCUGCAUGGUGGGGGUUGGAAAGUUUCGGCGGUUGGGGAUGGACUCGCGGCUUAUCAGCUUGUUGGUGGGGUAGUGGCUUACCAAGGCUUUGACGGGUAGCCGGCCUGAGAGGGUGACCGGCCACAUUGGGCCUGAGAUACGGCGCAGACUCCUACGGGAGGCAGCAGUGGGGAAUAUUGCACAAUGGGCGGAAGCCUGAUGCAGCAACGCCGCGUGCGGGAUGACGGCCUUCGGGUUGUAAACCGCUUUCGCCUGUGACGAAGCGUGAGUGACGGUAAUGGGUAAAGAAGCACCGGCUAACUACGUG
rnacentral:rRNA from 1 species